GCGCAAAACUGCCUGAAAGCAACUACAGAAUUUCAUUCAUUUGUGCUUUUGCAUUAAACUGUGAAUGUUCCAACACCUGCCUCCACGUCUCCCCUCAAGAAAUUUUCAGCACCAGGAAUCAUGAAGAGACUUCUGCUUUUCAUCCCCCACCCUCUUCAAGAAGUAAUAAUUUGUUUACUUGUAAAUUGAUGGGGGAAAUGAGGAAAAGAAAAUCUUUUUUAAAAUGAUUUCAAGGUUUGUGCUGAGCUCCUUGAUUGCCUUAGGGACAGAAUUACCCCAGCCUCUUGAGCUGAAGUAAUGUGUGGGCCGCAUGCAUAAAGUAAGUAAGGUGCAAUGAAGAAGUGUUGAUUGCCAAAUUGACGUGUUUUCACAUUUUCAUUGUGAAUUAUGUAAAAUUGCAAAGAGAUAUACCCUCUAAAAAAGAGUUUUAGUGUGGUGUUGAAGAAAUUAAGAAUGAAUUCGAAGUGCUUUCUAUGUACAUUCUCUUCUUCAAUACUGACAACUUGUCCUUGACCUUCUGUAUUAACUGUAGCUCUUCCGUAGGGCAGUUGUUGCUUCUUAUUUCAGUUCUGUAUGUGUUCAACAUUCUUGAAUACAUUAAAAGAAGUAACCAACUGAAUGAAAAAGCAUGGUAUUUGAAUUUUAAAUUAAACUGAAGUAAAUAAAAGUACAAAGCUUGUUUUAGUUAGUACUAAAUUCUUAGUAAAAAGAUGCUCAUUAGUAAACCAGCCCCUUGAGUUACGUAACAAGGUUUUUAAAUAAAUGUUUUUGUCAUCGCCUUCAAAAAUACUUAUGUCACUCAUUUACUUAAAAAGAUAUUUCUAAUUAAACUGUUCCCAUUUGCACUUACACUAUACCACCAACAGGAAAGCCUUCAAGAUGUUAAAUAAAACAAAGUGAUAUCUUUGUUUAUAAAAUGUUGUGUUGUAGAAAAAUACUGAUUUUAAAUCUUUUCCAUAUUAACAUACUUUAACAGAGUAUCCUUAGUGAAUUUUUUAAUGAAAGUGUAAGGAUAUAGUUAUAAAAAGUACAGUAUUAGAUGUACACGAGAGUUAUUUUCUUCAGACGUAUUUGAAUGACUGCUGUACUACAAUAUUUGGAUUGUCAUUCUUACAAAACUUUUUUUUUUUUUUUUUUGGUUUUCUCCUAAAAAGGAUAGUUGUGCUUGAGCUUUCCAAUAUGCUGUAUAGCCUUUGUUGUUCUGCAAAGGAGCUACCUGUUUUAACCCCUGACUAUACCAGUCUGUAUUUAUGUGUAUCAUACAUUGUUUCCAAUACUACUUCUAACUAUUAAUUAUUCAUUCACUAAGCUUGAUAAAUCUUUACAAAAGUUACCCUUUAAAAAAAUAGGACUAAGGUGGAUUUUAAAAAUUGGAAACUGACAUAAUGUUAGAUAUAAUUUCUCAUUUGAAAAGGUUAUUCCUUUUAAAAGAAGAGUGUAGAAAAUUAAUGUUUUAUAUUUAGUCAUGGGUUAUUUUUAAAAGUUUGUUAAUGUAUUAACAAAAUAUACAGAUGUGGGUGUUAAUUGUUGGGUCCCUUUUGAAAAGUAAGGUUUUUAAUUAAUAUUUGUAAAUGGUUUAUUUUUGUUUGUAACAAACCAUUGUCUCUUUUCAAGGAUGAACAGAGUUUAUGAAGGAGCAUCAUUCUAAGAAUUGAGUGAUGUAGUCUUAUAUUUGGACAAUUCACCAGAUUCUCAAGAAGGCUUUCAAACGACUGU
rnacentral:lncRNA from 1 species